CCCUGGCUCAGGACGAACGCAGGCGGCGUGCCUAAUACAUGCAAGUCGAGCGGAAUGAUGAAGAAGCUUGCUUCUUCUGAUUUUAGCGGCGGACGGGUGAGUAACACGUGGGCAACCUACCUUGUAGAUUGGGAUAACUCCGGGAAACCGGGGCUAAUACCGAAUAAUCCAUUUUGCUUCAUGGCAAGAUGUUGAAAGGCGGCUUCGGCUGUCACUACGAGAUGGGCCCGCGGCGUAUUAGCUAGUUGGUAGGGUAAUGGCCUACCAAGGCGACGAUACGUAGCCGACCUGAGAGGGUGAUCGGCCACACUGGGACUGAGACACGGCCCAGACUCCUACGGGAGGCAGCAGUAGGGAAUCUUCCACAAUGGACGAAAGUCUGAUGGAGCAACGCCGCGUGAGUGAAGAAGGUUUUCGGAUCGUAAAACUCUGUUGUAAGGGAAGAACACGUACGAGAGUAACUGCUCGUACCUUGACGGUACCUUAUUAGAAAGCCACGGCAACUA
rnacentral:rRNA from 1 species